CACGUAGUACGCACGUUCUUGACGUCACACGCAGGACUAGUAACACACAAAACCGACUGAACGGAAAAUCAGAAACUCUUGCUUUGGCUAACUUGAAUUUACUGUUUAGCCAAAAGAAAAGUGAGUCAUGUCGGUGAAUUACGCCGCUGGACUCUCUCCAUAUGCGGAUAAAGGCAUCUGCGGCCUCCCGGAGGAGUUUGACGGCCCAGAGGAGCUGAAGACUAAAGUGGAGACCCUGGCUCAGUGGAUCAAGGAGUCACAUUACAUGGUGGUGCAUUCAGGAGCUGGAAUCAGCACGUCUUCAGGGAUCCCAGACUUCAGAGGUCCUAAUGGAGUGUGGACGAUGGAGGAGAGAGGCGAGUCGCCUCACUUUAACACCACGUUUGAGGACGCCCGUCCCAGUCUGACUCACAUGUCCCUGCUGCAGCUGCAGAAGACGGGACACCUCAAAUACCUCGUCAGCCAGAACGUAGACGGCCUCCACCUGCGCUCCGGCUUCCCCAGGGAUCGAUUGUCGGAGCUACAUGGGAACAUGUUCGUUGAAGAAUGUGAGAAGUGCGGCAAGCAAUAUGUUCGGGACACUGUAAUUGGAGUGAUGGGUCUGAAGCCGACCGGACGCUACUGCGAUGUCACACGCUCAAGAGGACUCCGAUCUUGCAGAGGAAAGCUGAUCAGCACUAUAUUGGACUGGGAGGACUCACUGCCUGACAGAGACCUGAAUAGAGCUGAUGAAGCAUGUCGGCGAGCUGACCUGGCCUUGACGCUGGGAACAUCUCUUCAAAUUAAACCAAGCGGAGAUCUUCCUCUUCUGACCAAACGCACAGGAGGGAAGCUGGUUAUAGUCAACCUUCAGCCCACCAAACACGACAAACACGCUCACCUGCGUAUCCACGGCUAUGUAGACGAGGUCAUGGGUCAGCUGAUGAAGCUGCUGGGAUUGGAGGUUCCAGAGUGGGCGGGGCCAACGCUGUGUGAAAGCUCGGGUGGAGACCAGGACAUCCUCCCAUUCGGAGCUUGGAAAAAGGAAGUGAAGAUCGAGCUGAAGAUAGAGGAAAAUAAACCCGCCGUCCCAAAAAAACGAAAGAAGAAAGAGCAGGAUUGCGAGACAAACUGCAAGAAAGAUGUUAAAGUUGAAGAAGAGUCAAAAGAAGAGGGAAAGGAGGCAGCGCUUAGUGACUCUGAACCGAUCAAAAUGCGGAAGUCGCAUCCUUUAAACGGCUCCUCGAUAAAUCCUACAAGUUCUUCUGCCGUGAAGGAAACGGACGCUGAACCACAGACAGACACUGAACAGCCCUCUUCCUAGAGCCCUGUCACAAUCAAACAAAUCUCAGGAAGCGUGGUCACUGUAUGCCCUGUGUUUACAUCAUCAUCAUCAUCAUCAUCAUCAAAACCUGGACUCAGGCCUGUUAGAUGAAGUAAGAUGAAACGAUGUCAUUGAGUCGUGAGUGUGUACCAUUACAGCUGGUCAGUGGAUAAAUUAGACCGAUAUUAUUUCUGUUCGUCAGCCGAUCUGCGCGGUUUUUCUGGCUGGAAGUUUUGGUGAAUCACGGUUUUGCACUGUCAAAUGAACACAUGCUCUUUUCUACCCUCGAAUAAAUCAGGUUUGCAAAAACAAGGUUCACUGCGCAAAAUGUUUCUGUCAUAUUUCACCCUUAAAUCAUUUUUACAAUAAUUGAAAAAAUAUUUUUUUAUAAUAGACAGUACAACAAAUACUACGAUUUUUUUUUUUUAUACGGGAAAUUCGUUUAAUCGUCAUGCAACAUUCCCACUUGAAAAUGGUCUUAAAAAUACACUAGUUAUAUUUUUUGGGGUGAAAUACGACCCAAGGCGAGUUUAGUGAGCUUCGAAAUUUAAGGAAAAAAAUGAGCUUAAGUUGUUCGUACUAAUCGUGUAACGUGAUGCUUUAUUAAUGUCCACUUCUCCAGCCGCUAAUUUCCCUUCAGUGACGAGACGUUUAUUUUUUGUUUUUAUUUUCCAAAAUCGGCGCCAUUGUGUAACUUUGUUUUUCUACUUUUUCAUAAAAAAAAACAACCAUUGUAUAUAAACAAGAUGCUGAAACUGUAAAACUGACUUUUUUUGUGUGUGUAACCUGUCUUAUAUCCUUGUAUGAUGCCUACAUAGACAGCAUACUCUUCUCAAGAAAGCAGCUAUCUGCACACGGCCUUUUCUGUCAUCUCACUGAACGGAGUAAUGCAACGAAUUCUCCAGACGCGUCUUUGAAAGUGCCGCAUUAAACCGCCGAGGAGGGUGUUGAAGACGGACGGUGACCGCCGCGACUGAUGAGCGGGGACAGUACAAGUCAGGCGUACAUCAGCUACCGCGGAGACUAUUAACACGUCCCCGAGGUGCCAUCAAGACUGUUUUGACAGGCCUCCAGUGAUCCAGCCACUUCUGAGAGAAAAGCUGAAAGCUCUCUCUAACCCCGUCGUGUCUUUGGCUGUUCGUGCAGAAAUGUGCCGAAUAAAACAACAGAGGAAAAGCCGGAUAAACACGGCGCUCGUGUUCUGAUCGCUCCGGGGACCAGAGCUGUUCCGAUGAAGUCAGCGGACGCUUCUCUUAUGAUCAAAGAUGAAUGAAAGCUGGACUGAGAACUCCUAGAACAAAGUCUGAGCUGGCCUGGAUUCCUUCGCCGCAUGAACCCUUAAGUCUGCAGAGAUUCUUUUGACAGCACAGAGGCUUUAGUCAACAAUAGCUCUGACAAAAUCCCUACAGAGACCUUGAAAAGGGGCAUGUUGUGUCCUAGAAGACGCCUAAUUUAUCCAGUACACAAAUCGACUAAACGAGCAGACAGCGCAACAGCGGCGUCAUCAAAAUCGUUGUCAUUGUCAGCAGAUCGAUAUUGUGUACGCCGGCCGGUUUCUUCAAGAAGCAAAUUAUUAUACUUCAUACUGAGUUGUUAUAUUUCGUACUGAAGCACAAAUUUGUUUUUCGGAAGUGGACGGCGGAGUGGUUCAAUGCUUGUGGCUCAGGGAAGGCUGCUUGAGCUGGAUGAUAUGAAAUGCACUGCAAAAACUUUCUUUCACAGUGUUUUGUUCGUAGCUCAACAUUGGUGAAGGAAAUGGUGACCCAAAUGAAACUCGUAGAAGAAUUUGUUUCUUAAUCAGAACACAUUUGGAGAAUUUUUAGCAAUAAGUGCAGUGAAUGGGUGCCGUCAGAAUAAGUGUCCAAACAGCUGAUGAAACAUCAAGUAAUCCACAACACUCCAGUUUAUCAAUUAACAUCUUGCAAAGCCAAAAGAUUAAAUAGAGUAAAUAUAAGAAACGGAUUUAUCAUUACAAUAGAGUCCUCAGUCCAUAAUGUUGCACUGUCCAGAGAAAAAGCAAGGUAUAUGCAUAAAAUCAAGUCACGGUUUACUAGCCAAAAUCAUUCUGAACAAAUAUAUGGGUGUAUUUUGAUGUGAAAGACAACAGAGGAUGGACUUUUUCCACUUGAGGAAGUUUUAUAGAUUAAAUUUUUUUAACCAGCUUUUCGCUUGACCACGCUCCAAUUUAAAUAAAAAUAAAUGCCAUUCUUAUUGCAAGAGGCAGCAUCUUGUACAGUGUGCCAGACAUUGGCACCGUAGAAACCGCUUUAACGGAAGGCAACUGUUCUCUGUCAGCAGACACCUGAAUUGCUAUGUUGCAGCUCAGACCGCCUGCUGUUGAACAGUCAGUCAGACAGCUCGGAUCAUUUUCCAAUCAUUCCUGGCCCCCACAUCUAGCACGUCUCUAUGUGGACAUCUCGGCUCCCCUCCGGGCUGUUCGAGCGCCCUGCAGCCUCUGCAGCAUACUAACACCUUCCUGCUUUCUUACCCAACAACCUCGUCAAGAGCUCUCAUGGCCAUCAGCAGAACUCUUCGUGACUUCUCAAAUCUCUUCCCACAAAGAGAUGAAGUCUCUGUUCUUCUGAAAUCAUACUUCAAUUGGUUGCACCAGUUGAUUUUUAACACUUUGUGACUUUGCUUGCUUUUAUUGUUUUAUGUUGUUUUCAGUUGUAUUGGUAUGCAAAUGCUUAAAGCGUAUUAAAAAUGUAAAAAUCUCCAUAUUAUAACCUAAAUUAACAGCUGAUCUCGCAUGUUAUGACUUUUAACUAAUUCAGUACAUAUUAGAUACAUAAAUUUGAGACUUCUAAAUUAUCAACGGGAUGUAUAAGGCCUGCUUUGCUGGGAAAAAAACGGUAAUACAUAAUCUUGUAUGCAGUCUGUUUAGCAGGUAUAAAGAUCGCACUGAUUUCAUUUACAUUACAAACUAUUACCUAUUAUAACUAUAACUAUUAAAUUGCAUAUUGUAA